CGACAGGGCACAAGCCAGGGAGAAGCGACUGUUUAUCAAAAACACAGGGCUCUGCUAACACGUAAGUGGAUGUAUAGGGUCUGACGCCUGCCCGGUGCUGGAAGGUUAAUGCGAUGGGUGCAAGCUCAUUUUUGAAGCCCCAGUAAACGGCGGCCGUAACUAUAACGGUCCUAAGGUAGCGAAAUUCCUUGUCGGGUAAGUUCCGACCUGCAUGAAUGGCGUAACGAUUUCUCCGCUGUCUCCAACAUCAACUCAGUGAAAUUGAAUUCUCCGUGAAGAUGCGGAGUUCGCGUAGUUAGACGGAAAGACCCCGUGCACCUUUACUGCAACUUUACAUUGGUGUUAGGAAAAACAUAUUUAGCAUAGGAGGGAGACAUUGAAGCAAAGGCGUCAGCUUUUGUGGAGUCACCAGUGAAAUACCUCUUUUGUUUUUCUUGAUAUCUAACUGAUUGCCGUCAUCCGGCAUCAAGACAUUGUAUGGUGGGUAGUUUGACUGGGGCGGUCGCCUCCCAAAUAGUAACGGAGGCGUGCGAAGGUAAGCUCAGAACGGUCAGAAAUCGUUCGUAGAGUGCAAUGGCAUAAGCCUGCCUGACUGUGAGACUGACAAGUCGAGCAGAGUCGAAAGACGGUCAUAGUGAUCCGGUGGUUCUGAGUGGAAGGGCCAUCGCUCAACGGAUAAAAGGUACGCCGGGGAUAACAGGCUGAUACCCCCCAAGAGUUCACAUCGACGGGGGUGUUUGGCACCUCGAUGUCGGCUCAUCGCAUCCUGGGGCUGAAGCAGGUCCCAAGGGUAUGGCUGUUCGCCAUUUAAAGUGGUACGCGAGCUGGGUUUAGAACGUCGUGAGACAGUUCGGUCCCUAUCUGCCGUGCGCGUUGGAAAAUUGAGAAGAGUUGCUCCUAGUACGAGAGGACCGGAGUGAACGAACCCCUGGUGUUCGGGUUGUCAUGCCAAUGGCAUUGCCCGGUAGCUAUGUUCGGAAAGGAUAACCGCUGAAAGCAUAUAAGCGGGAAGCCUCCUUCAAGACUAGUUUUCCCUGGACCUUCGGGUCCUUUAAGAGCCGUUCAAGACUAGGACGUUGAUAGGCAGGGUGUGUAAGUGCUGUAAGGCAUUGAGCUAAC
rnacentral:rRNA from 1 species